CCUACGGGAGGCAGCAGUGGGGAAUAUUGGACAAUGGGCGAAAGCCUGAUCCAGCAAUGCCGCGUGAGUGAUGAAGGCCUUAGGGUUGUAAAGCUCUUUUACCCGGGAUGAUAAUGACAGUACCGGGAGAAUAAGCUCCGGCUAACUCUGUGCCAGCAGCCGCGGUAAUACGGAGGGAGCUAGCGUUAUUCGGAAUUACUGGGCGUAAAGCGCACGUAGGCGGCUUUGUAAGUUAGAGGUGAAAGCCUGGAGCUAAACUCCAGAAUUGCCUUUAAGACGGCACCGCUUGAAUCCAGGAGAGGGGAGUGAAAUUCCGAGGGUAGAGGUGAAAUUCGUAGAUAUUCGGAAGAACACCAGUGGCGAGGGCGGCUCACUGGACUGGUAUUGACGCUGAGGUGCGAAAGCGUGGGGAGCAAACAGGAUUAGAUACCCCGGUAGU
rnacentral:rRNA from 1 species